AAAAAUUUAACUUUCUUGUCACAUACACAGGACCGAAGAAAACUCCAUUUGCAUUGCACCAUUUACACUUGGGCUCAAGACUGCUAAUCGUUAAGGGAGUUGUGUCAGCAGGACGCCGGCGCCAGAGCAUUUUUCAUUUAAUGUCCUUUCUUUGCGUUGACAUUCUUAGAACUGUAAGGAAAUUUCCAGAAUUUUGUAAAAAUGUUGCAGCGCGAUUUUUCACACUUGGAUCAGCACAGCUACAAUUACGCUGUAUUGGACAUGAUUCUUUCUGUUGCAUUGUGAUUGCCGAGCCCUUUUCGAAAGUAUUUUGUUGCAUACUCGAUCCCGAUUGUAUAUUUUUAGAUGUGGUGGCAGUGGGUCACACACGUGCAAGGGUCAGAUCGAGAGUCUGCAGGUAGAAACACCAGAAACGCCUAAAAAGAAGAUAAAAGAGGAAUUAAUGAAACGGACCCUAAAAUGACCCAAAACGAAUGCAGUCGGGGUAAGGAAGGGAUAACUGCCAUCACUUGAAUGCCUUGAAGAGCAAUUGCCACCGAGAUGCCUUGAUGAUGUUGCAAGAUAAGGGACAUAGGAAAUCAACAAGCAAUCCAACGUGGGCGACGCCCCUGAAACUCAAACAGAAAC